AUGGAUGGCCUCUGCUGUGCUGUUGCUUGGGUGCACAAAAGUGCCACCUUGAUGAAACGAAGUACUUGCUCCUCUGGGUAUUCUUCCACAUCUGGAUCUACAAUUUCCAAAAGCCUCCCUUCUUCUCGCAGCUUCCAUGUCUGCAGCCAUUCCACAAGGACAUGCAUAUCUUCCCCCCAAGUCGAUUUGCUGCUGCUUUCACCACUUAUAACUUCAAGAAGCAGCACCCCAAAACUAUAUAUGUCUGCUUUCUUGGUUAACUGUCCCAAUAAUGCAUACUCUGGAGCCAAGUAA
rnacentral:rRNA from 1 species